UACGUAGGUGGCAAGCGUUGUCCGGAUUUAUUGGGUUUAAAGGGUGUGUAGGCGGUUUUUUAAGUCAGUGGUGAAAUACUUCAGCUUAACUGGAGAGGUGCCAUUGAUACUGGGAAACUUGAGUACUGAUGAGGUAGGCGGAAUGGACGGUGUAGCGGUGAAAUGCUUAGAUAUCGUCCAGAACACCGAUAGCGAAGGCAGCUUACUAAGGAGUAACUGACGCUGAGGCACGAAAGUGUGGGGAUCAAACAGG
rnacentral:rRNA from 1 species